GAGUGCGUGGCGUAGUGGCUAACGCAACUGUUUUAGAAAUUGUUGGGGGUGGGUUCGAAUCCGGUGGGGGUCA